rnacentral:rRNA from 1 species
UCGAGAAUUUUUCUCAAUGGGGGAAACCCUGAAGGAGCGACGCCGCGUGGAGGAUGAAGGUCUUCGGAUUGUAAACUCCUGUCAUUUGGGAACAAUUGUCACCGAUUAACUGUCGGGGGCUUGAUAGUACCAGAAGAGGAAGAGACGGCUAACUCUGUGCCAGCAGCCGCGGUAAUACAGAGGUCUCAAGCGUUGUUCGGAUUCAUUGGGCGUAAAGGGUGCGUAGGUGGCGGGGUAAGUCUGGUGUGAAAUCUCGGGGCUCAACCCCGAAACUGCACUGGAUACUGCCUUGCUCGAGUACUGGAGAGGAGAUUGGAAUUUACGGUGUAGCAGUGAAAUGCGUAGAUAUCGUAAGGAAGACCAGUGGCGAAGGCGAAUCUCUGGACAGUUACUGACACUGAGGCACGAAGGCCAGGGGAGCAAACGGGAUUAGAUACCCCGGUAGUCCUGGCAGUAAACGGUGCGCGUUUGGUGUGGGAGGAUUCGACCCCUU